rnacentral:lncRNA from 1 species
ACCAUUUUCAAGUCAUGAAUACAUAUUUCAAGCAUCAACACUAAACCAAUUUCAAGUCAUGAAUUCACAUUUUCAAGUGAUUACACUUUAUAAAUUUCAAAACACAAGUUCACCUUUCAAGAACUACGCUAAACCAUUUUGAAGUCACUAAUCCACUUUUCAAGUGACUAGUACACAUUUCAAAACACUACACUUAACCAUUUUCAACUCUCUAGUUCACUUCUCAAAUGACUAAACUUAACCAUUUUCAAGUCAUGAAUUCACAUUUUCAAGUGAUUACACUUUAUAAAUUUCAAAACACAAGUUCACCUUUCAAGAACUAUGCUAAACCAUUUUCAAGUCGCUAAUCCACUUUUCAAGUGACUAGUACACAUUUCAAAACACUACACUUAACCAUUUUCAACUCUCUAGUUCACUUCUCAAAUACCUAAAUUUAACCAUUUUCAAGUCAUGAAUUCACAUUUCAAGUAUCAACACUAAACCAAUUU